GAAAAGGCCACAGUUCGCAACACUGGGGAGUUCUGCUCAUUUCUUGUGUAUUUGCAGUCAAGCAUUUGCUGCAUGGAGGGAAUAAUCAGUUCUCAUGCCAUCGAUAUCAAUCAACCAGGUUCCGGCGUCUAUUAAGGUCGCAGUAUCCCAGCUGGCGACCCCCCAGGCAGACACCCAGUCCAGUUCCACCUCUGGAAUGAUGGCCAUCAUUCUGCUUCAGCCAGGUGUUACGUGGGCGUUCCCUUGGCCUGGUUUAGCCACUUGGGUCCUCAGCAAUGAGGAUCCUGCGAGCCAGAUCACCUUCAAGGUAAUGCGCCACAUGGCCGUAAUACCGUAACUGAUGCUCCCUCACAAUGCAGGUAAUGUGCCUCAUUCAGAACUGCAUUAGCAACCAUUAAUUCGUCACAAUGUCAAACCAGCGGUACCCAAGGAUUCCCCGAAGAGACACAGUACCGAAGGAGUCCAGUCUUCAUCUCAGCUCACUGGACAGCAUCCAUGUCUCACAGUCAUACAGCUAGACAGGGAGCACCAGGAGUUUAAAGACUUGGACAUUCAUCCUCUUGCAAUGAUAUCGGGAGCCACACACCCCUUUCCGGUGACCUCAUGACCCCCCAUACUCUUCCAAUCUGUCUGCUGACUUCAUAGGAAGAGUCAUCAGAGACAUGAAUGUCGCUGCCGAGGUAGGUGAAUAUCUCGACGAGUUCGAUAUUGCCCCCGCAGACAGAAACACUACUGAUAGCUGUGCCUAAGAAGUAAUUAAAAUAAUUUUAUUCUAAUUGAGUUAAAUAUACAUUGGCAUACUCAGUAACAUAUAAGCUUCUGACCUUAAAACAGAGCUGAAAGGUCCUGUACGAGGAACCUUGAAAAGGUAACAAGGUAGAUAAUAGCCAAGCUAACAAGGAACAGACGAACUAACGAGAAACAUCAGGUGAGUUCAUGUAGGGACAUCACUCUCAGAAAAGGUAUAAAUAUGGAUGUUGAUUUGCGAAGGGGGGGGGUCUUCUCCUUUGAAUGUGGGGAAUCCCUGUGCAAACAGACCUAAUAAAUGGACAAGUUCUCCUACCCUAAGUUGUCUGCAGUUUAUGUCAUUCCAAAAUUUUUGACUUCCAUAAAGCCUUGUGCAUUGUAGAAUGUAUAGUGGCGAGGUUGAAGCUGAAGUUUGUGCAUACAUACAGUGUAUGUGGAAGAUACUUUUUGCAGAAGUUCAUCACAUUUUGUAUUACAUUGACGGAAUCAAGGCUUCAAUAACAUUUACAGCUCAAUUUGAAGGCUAUACAGUAAAAGUCUAUUGAGAUCAGUGUCACCAAAUCCGCUUAUUAUAAGGGUCAUUUCAUGAAUUGGAUGCCAAGUGUAAAUAGCGUAAAUGGCUCUGUGUAUUUAUCAUGCAUUGUAUUGUUAUUGUGCAUAAUGUCAUGUGUAGUGUUAAUGCUAAUUGUUAUAAUUAGUGGUGUGUGCACCCAUCGUGUAGUGUGUGUGUUUGGGGCAGCCAGUA